GGCGGCCGCCUCCAAACCCAACUAUCUUCACGUCCUGUCCCUCGAGGCCCUCUCCCUGAAGUCCCCGCCCAGCCAGCCUCACCCAGAGCCGCCUGAAGACAGACGCCUGCCCAGCCCUGAGCGCAGCUGGGGGCGGGGACACCUGGCCAGGUUUCGUGUGGAAAAAUCCUGGGAGACAAGUUUGUGCGGCGCAGAGCGGGCCUGGAGGUAUGUGCCUGGCAUGGGCUGGGUCCCGCCCUGCACCCAGGUCCACCCCAGGCCCACCUGGGGCCCUGCAGGGGCCAGGCUGGGCGGCAUGAGGGGGAAGCCAGCCUGGAGGGCCUCUGCAGCCCAGUCAGGCCGAAGGGCUCACAAGAGGACUCAGUGAAGGGGCUUCCGUGCGGCUGGAGCUAUGAUGGGAACGCCGGUACCCCGCGGCCUGCAGGGCCCCCAGGGCCGACUCUGCCCACCUUCCCUCCUCCCCUUGGCAGAGAGGGCUGUGGGUGCCCCCCCCCAGAGCUGCGGCGCCUCCCUGAGGAUGCGUGGUGCCCGCCAGGCACAGUUUUGGCAAAGCCAGGAAUCUGGGGUGCACCUUCCCUCACUGCGGCCGGGCCAGACGGAUGGCGAUGCCUGCUAGGCCACCGCUGCAGCUUCCAGCUCCAGGCUCGGCGGAGUCUCAUCUGAUCCCUGUGACCAGCCCUGAGGGUCGCACUCUCCCUGGAGCCAGCUCCUGACACAGGAGCCCUGGAGGGGGGCUUGACGGUAGGCUUCCUGGAGGAAGCGGUUGUCUGUGGGGCCCGGAAUCUGCACGGAGCCUCGGGCCGCUUGGGUGCACAAUCAGGUUGAGAGCCUGGAACCUGAGGGCCUCGAAGGCGUGGAUCAUUAAAUCCAAGGCUAGUUCUUCUCUUGCUGCGAAACAUCUGUGAGUGGGGACAAGUCCAUCUGAACUAGAUACACAGGGAUCAGCGGGCAGGACAGCUGGUCAGCACAUGGCUUCUGGGCAUGUGUGUGGCCAGCCAUGUCCCCUGCCCUGCGGGCACCUCUGUGGACCUGCACACCUGUGGACCAGCAGGACCUGUGAAGCCCACACCAGGCGACUGGAUGCCGCUCUGGUCCACGGCAGGUCCCCCUGGUUCUUCCUUCGGCUCCACCGCCCAGCUGCCGUGAGUGCACGGUGAGCAGUGACCUCAGGACGUAUCUGCAGAGGACAAUUCUGGCUGCUGGGCCUAGGAGCUAUUUUCCCACCCCGUGUGAACGAGGAGGUAGAAAGAAGAGUGACCGCUCAAGAUGUGCCUGUCCUAGUCCCAGAACCUGUGACUGUUACCUUCAUGGCAAAGGGGUUUUGCAGAUGUGACUGAGUGAGGGACGUGAUGGUUAUCGUGGGUUUGCUGGGAGGGCCCAGUGUCAUCGCAGGGGGCCUUAUAAGAGAAGGCAGCAGGGUCAGAGUCACAGGAGGAGAUGAGGGAGAGAGGGAGAGAGAGAGUGAGUGAGAGAGGGGAAGAGGCCAAGCUGCUGAAAUCCAGGUGGCCUUGAGAAGCUGGAGAAGGCACGGACGCAGACUCACACCUAAGUCUCCCGAAGGAACCAGCCCUGCUGACACCUUAAUUUUAGCAUUUUUUUUUUCCGAGACAGGGCCUUGCUCUGUUUCCCAGGCUGGAGUGCAGUGAUGCAACCACAGCUCACUGCAGCCCUGACCUCCCGGGCUCAGGUGAUCCUCCUGCCUCAACCUUCCAAGUAGUUGGGACUACAGGUACACACCACCGUGUCUAGGGAUCCGGACGCUUCAGCCUCCCAAAGUACUGGGAUUACAGGCGUGAGCCACUGUGCCGGGCUUAGUUCUAGGACUUUUUAUCUCCAGAACUGUAAGAUAAUAAUUUUUUUAAGCCACUACAUUUGUGCCAAUUUGCUACGGCAGCCACAGGGAACUCACACACUCACUCGCUGCCUGGCAGAGUACAGCCUCCCUCCUGUGACCUGGCCCAGGCCAGGACUGAGCUGGACCCACAGGCAGAGAGGAGACAAGGCAGGAGUGGGCUUCGACCAGCCUCUGAGUCUGUCCUUCUCUGGUGUCCUGCUGACCCUGACCUGGAGGGUUCCAAAGUCAUACAGGCCCCCUGAUUACGGCUUCACUGGCUUGAGUUGGGUUUCUGUUUCUGGCAACCCUGAGUUCUGCCUGAUCACCCCCAACCCCAGCACACGACAUGCCCCACCUGGGUGCAGCAGCUCCUCCACCCUAGAGGAGGCUGGGGUGGGAAUGACACCCCGAUUCUGUUUGCAGAAUGAGGGGAACUGAGGUGGUGACUGCUCAUUCCUCGCCUCAGUGUGGGAGGGCCCUGUGCUAUCUAUGUCUGUUAUCAGCGGGCACAGACCCCAUAGACACAGGGCGGAGGAAGUCGGAAGCCCCCUCCCCACAGGGCCCGGCACAGAACCUCACAGGCAGGAAGGGGAAAGUGGUCUUGGGGGUAGGAGAAGGAGAGGUCCGGAAGGGCUGCGGCUGGGAGUCAGGAGGUCGUGCUCAGGGUCCCCCAGGGGAGAGGACUCUACCUCUCAAGAGAACAGGCACAGAGGAC
rnacentral:lncRNA from 1 species